UUUCUGUCUCAAAGAUAUGUCCAUUGAUGUGAGUGGGGUGUUGAAGUCUUCUACUAUUAUUUUAUUCCCAUAAAUUUCUCCCUUUAUGUCUUUUAGCACUUGUUUUAUAUAUUUGGGUACUUCUACAUUGGGUGCAUAUAUGCUGAUGGGUGUAAUAUCCUCUCCUUUGUAUUGAUCCUUUUAACAUGUAGUAUCCUUCUUUAUCUUUCUUUAUGGCCUAUGUUUUAAAGUCUAUUUUGUCUGAUACUCGUAUUGCAACCCCUCCAUUUUCUUGUCAGUUCUGUUUGGAUGAAAUAUCUUUUUCCAUCCCCUCACUUUCAAUCUAUUUGCGUCCUUUGCCCUAAAGUGGUCUCUUGUAAGUAACAUAUUGUAGACUAUUGUUUGUUUUUUUUAUCCAGUUGACCACUCUCUGUCUUUUGAAUGGAGCAUCUAGUCCUUUGACAUUUAAGGUAAUUAUUGAUAGAUAUGUAUUUAUUGCCAUUUUAAAAUUUGUUUUCUGGUUGAUUUUAUAUUUCUUCUUUGUUCAUUUUUCUUUUUGUCUUUCCUUUUGUGGUUUGAUGAUUGUCUUUUCAAUUAUGCUUGUUUUUUCUUCUUUUUGGUUCUUGUGAAUCUAUUGUAUGUUUUUGAUCUGUAGUUACCCCGUUUUUGACAGUGUUAAUCCAAUACUAUAUCUACUUGCUUUGGACUUAUAGUCAUAUAGUCUCAAACACAUUCUAAGAAAAAAAAUCUACACUUUCUCACUCUUCUCCCCAUUUUAUGAUUUUGAUGUCUUUUUUACAUCUUCAUGUUUAACCUUUUGCUAUUCAUUGAGGUUAUCAUUACUUUCAUAAAAAGCUUGUUUUAUUUUUUUAAACAUUUAUGCUGGCUUAUGAUUUACUUUUCAAUUGUUAUUUUCUCUUUCCUAUUGAUUCUUAAUUCUUUUCUAUUUAGAGAAGACUUUUCAAUAUUUCUUUUAGGAUAGGUUUAGUAUUGCUAUAUGUUUUCAGUUUUUGUUUGUCUCAGAAAUUCUUUAUCUGUCCGUCUAUGCUAAAUGAUAAUCUUUCUGAGUACAGUAUCUUGCAUUGCAGAUUUUCCCUGUUAGGACUUUGAAUGAUGUUCUCUCUCCUUCAUGGCCUGCAGUGUUUCUGUAGAGAAAUCAGCUGAUAGUCUAUGGGAGUUCCCUUGUAAUGAACUCUUUCUCUUGCUGGCUUUAGAAUCUUCUCUUAAUCUUUCACUUUUGCCAUUUUAAUCUUAUCUUGGUAUAGGCAUCCUUAGGUUCAUAUUGUUAGUUUUCAGCCAUAAUUACUUAAAAUACAUUUUUAAUCCUCUCUUCUCUUUAUUCUUCUUGGAUUCCCUAUUAUGGAUAGAUUGGUAUGCUUUAUAUUUUCCCAUAGAUCUCUCAUAUUGCUUUCUUUUUUUAAUGUGGUUUUCUUUCUACUGUUCUGACUGGUUAAUUUCCACUAUUUUAUCUUCCAGAUCACUUGUUCUUCUGCAUUAUUCAAUCUGCUGUUUAUUGCCUUUAGCUCAGCUAUCAUCUUGACAAAUGAGUUUUCUAAUUUUUCUUACAUCUUCCUUAUAGGUUCUAGUUCCUUUUUAUAGUAAUCUCUCAUUCCAUCAAUAGCCUUUGUUAACUGGUUCAGUAUUUUCAUUAUCUCCUUUUUGAAUUCAGUAUCUACUAGAGUGAAGAAGUCUGUCUCAUUGUUCUUUCAGGGGAUUUCUCUUGAUCUUCAAUUAAGAGUGGUUCCUCUGCUUCAUUUUACUUAUAUCACAGGUUAUGUUAUCAGCGUGUGCACAGUUCUUUGACUGAUUAAUUGUGAGGUACCAAGGUGGUUUCACAGGUUAACAUUAUCAAUCUUCAGAAUCCAGUGGAAGUUCUCUUGUGGUGGAGCUGGCUAAGGAUAUGGCAUUGUCGCUGCUGAGGCACAGGUUUGAUUCCUGGCCCAGGAAAUUCCAUGUGCCAUGGGUGUGGCCAAAUAAAAAGUUCAGGCUCCAGUAGGUCUGGGAGCUGUGUGCUCAUGGUCUUCUAUUUGAUGGAGGUUAUAUCAUCUGUAAAACAACUCAGGAAAUAUGCACCAGAUACUUCAGAGAGGAGAUACAGCAGAAGAUAUGGAGGAGGGGUCUGCCCCAGGAUGGCUCCAGAGGGUCCUGCUUGGUUACAUUCCUCCAGACUCAGGCAGGUUAGUGUUCCUGUGGUUCUCAGAGUGAGCACAGGAUGUAGAGUGGGGCUGACUUUUCUUGCUUGCUACCUUUGGUCUUAUGAUGGCUUGUCACAUCUAACAGCUUUGUUUGAGAGGGUGCUGAGGACAAGAACAGCAUGGUGGGCUUAACUGACCCCUUACUUCCCUGGUGGCAGAGAAUCCCUCUAUGCCAGAACUGGCAAUGAUUGAUCAGGUUAUUUGCCACUGGCCCCAAGGACAGAAACUCACUGCUGACAGGUAUGGAGAGUCCAAAGCAACCUGAAUGUUGAGGGAACAUAACAUGAGCAAGCAAGAAAAGUAAAAUCAGAAUACAUUUAAGAAGACCUCUGACAAAAAGAAAAAAAAAAGGCAAUUAGAUCAUGUAGAACAAAGUAUUUCCUUGAGGAAGAAGUGAAGACACAAAAGAAUAAAAAGUAAAUCUUGCAGAGAUAAUAUUAGAGUUUCAGGAGUUCCUGUUGUGGCUCAGCAGCAAACGAAUCUAACUAGUAUCCAUGAUGAUGCAAGUUCAAUCCCUGGCCUCACUCAGUGGGUUAAGAUCCAGCAUUGCCAUGAGCUAUGGUGUAGGUCACAGAUGCAGUUUGGAUCCUGCUUUACUGUUGCUGUGCUGUAAGCCAGAAGCUACAGCUCUGAUUUGAUCCCUAGCCUGGGAAAUUCCAUAUGCCAUGGAGCCCUAAAAAGCAAAAAAAAAAAAAAAAAGAAAAGAAAAGAAAAUAGAGUUUCUGGAAAAAAUAUGUGCACAUAAUUUAAUUAAUCUUAAUAUAUUUGUCAUGGUUAUUUAAAUUUUAUAAUCAUUAAUUAAAAUAAUAUACUUAGCACAUGAUAUGUACAAUAAGGAGUUAAAAUUUCAAUGGACAAACUCAUAAAGAAGAUGGUCAUAGCUGAGAAUAGGUUUACCUGAAAAUAAAAAUCUGGAAUACAGAGGAAAAACACAAAGAGCUGGAGGGGAUAGAGGGACAAGGGGAAGAUGGCUCAGGAUGCAUGUGGAUAAACCAUCUCUAUUCAAGUUCCCUUCUCCCAUCAUGCCUCCUGUGACAAUGCUUCUGGUUAGGAAAACAAUGGUUGAUGAACAUGAAGCUAGGGGAGUCAGAGGCCAAAAAGCUGCCUCAAGGCUUCAUGUCUCCCUUUCUCCCUUGUAAAUAUAACCCAGAUUAUUAUUUUUUUUCUUUCUUCUUUUCCAGACUAGGGGUUGAAUCAGAGCUAUAGCUGCUGGCCUAUGCCACAGCCACAGAAACAGCAAUGACAGAUUCCCACCCACUGAGUGAUGGCAGGAAUUGAACCCACAUCCUCAUGGAUACUAGUCAGAUUCGUUUCCACUGUGCCACAAUGGAAACUCCCUAACUGUUUUUAAUAAUAAAAAUUUCACAAAAAACUCAUAUCUAAAAAGUAAACAUUCAAAGAUAUUUAAACUGAGGAAAAUCAUGGAAAUAAUUAACUUCACCAUACCAAAAAAAUUUUACAUUUUUUUCCAAAAGUGAUGACAUAGUACAAGAAAUUGGACAUGAAAGACUAUUAUUCUAGUUGGUAAAAUUCUAUUACUUUUUGAGUCAAACACACAACCUAACAGUGCUGUGUCCACCAGGCAUGUCUCUCUGAACAGCUUAAAAUAAACUUCCAAAGAUUUGUGUCCAUACUAAAUUUCUAAAAACUAAGGUAUAUUUUCCCCACUGACCCUCUUCACUUUUAACUGGCAAUGCUUUCCUCUCAAAAACAUUGAUUCCAAGUCUUAGUAAGAAUGAAAAUAUAAGAUUGAACACAGAUAAAAAAGAAGGAUUUUGAAAAGUGGAUAUGAGUAAUAUUUUUAGCACUUUCUAUAAUAAAGCACAAACCACACUGAACCCAAAUCAAUAAGACUUGGAGCCGAGUUCCAGUCAUGUGUCAGUGGUUAGCAAACCUGACUAGUAUCCAUGAGGACAUAGGUUUGAUCCCUGGCCUUGCUCGGUGGGUUUAGAAUUUGAUGUUGCUGUGAGCUGUGGUGUAGAUUGCAGACAAGGCUUGGAUGCUGCAUUGCUGUGGCUGUGGCAUAAGCUGGCAGCUACAGCUCCAAUUUAAUCCCUACCCUGGGAACUUCCAUAUGCCAUGGGUAUGGCCCCAAAAGACAAUAAAUAUAGAAUUAAAGACUUAUCUUGAUGAACAAGAGAGACACAGAGGUCUCAGCACUGUUUAUAAUUUCUACAGGUAAAGAAGAGAGAAAUUUAUUCCUUUCUGGUAUGAAAGAAUCCAUCUACUAUCGUAUUUAUUUCUAAAAUCCUACCAUUAUAAAUCAAAGCCCAGCAUUAAUACUUCCUAAUCCACUACUUUUGACAGGGCGUUUACCUAGAGUUUUUGUGCUUAUAAGGAUCCUUAUCUUUAAUUUAUUUGUAAAAUUCCUGUCUUCUUCCAUGCUUGAUUACCAUUGAAGUUGAAUAAACAGCUACAGAUGAUAUUCUGGCCAGAAGAAAAUGAUCAGAAGCACCAUUCACUAGCUUGCUGGGUAUAGUCAGGAGUUUAAACACAGGUAUACACAUGUGCUUCACAAGGUGAGUUCUAGAAUUCCUGCUGGUUGCUGAAAAGCCAUCAAGUGGCUCAUAAUCAGAUACAUUUUUUGGAGCAAAGGUCAUAAAUUAUUUGUGGAGAAGGCACUGAAGAAUUUUGGAAACAAUGUUUUCAAUCACCAAACCAAGGUAGACAAGAGUCUUGGCAGUAAGAGCUGUUGAUAUUAUUGGCCUGCCUCACACACACUGUUAUUUAAGUCUUACAAUAUGCUUUUCUGAGAACUCCUGAGUAAGCCCAUUUAUGAAAUGUGACUUCCUCAAAGGUGUGAAAGGAUUCUAUCGUGCAGGUUGUAUUUGUAAUCUCAGCAUCCCCUGGAACCUGGCACACAGUAAAUGUUCACAAAGUGUUUCUGAUUGAAAGUGUGCUGCAUUUG
rnacentral:lncRNA from 1 species